GACGAACGCUGGCGGCGUGCCUAAUACAUGCAAGUCGAGCGGACUUUCAAGAAGCUUGCUUUUUGAAAGUUAGCGGCGGACGGGUGAAUAACACGUGGGCAACCUGCCUGUAAGACGGGGAUAACUCCGGGAAACCGGGGCUAAUACCGGAUAAUAUCUUUCUUCGCAUGAAGGAAGGUUGAAAGGCGGCGCAAGCUGCCGCUUGCAGAUGGGCCCGCGGCGCAUUAGCUAGUUGGUGAGGUAACGGCUCACCAAGGCGACGAUGCGUAGCCGACCGGAGAGGGUGAGCGGCCACACUGGGACUGAGACACGGCCCAGACUCCUACGGGAGGCAGCAGUAGGGAAUCUUCCGCAAUGGACGAAAGUCUGACGGAGCAACGCCGCGUGAGCGAAGAAGGUCUUCGGAUCGUAAAGCUCUGUUGUCAGGGAAGAACAAGUACCGUUCGAAUAGGGCGGUACCUUGACGGUACCUGACCAGAAAGCCACGGCUAACUACGUGCCAGCCGCCGCGGUAA
rnacentral:rRNA from 1 species